UACGAAGGGGGCUAGCGUUGUUCGGAUUUACUGGGCGUAAAGCGCACGUAGGCGGAUCGAUCAGUCAGGGGUGAAAUCCCAGAGCUCAACUCUGGAACUGCUUUUGAUACUGUCGAUCUGGAGUAUGGAAGAGGUGAGUGGAAUUCCGAGUGUAGAGGUGAAAUUCGUAGAUAUUCGGAGGAACACCAGUGGCGAAGGCGGCUCACUGGUCCAUUACUGACGCUGAGGUGCAAAAGCGUGGGGAGCAAACAGG
rnacentral:rRNA from 1 species